CGGGGCCUGCUACCUAUCAAAACGAAGAUAUCGACGAGAUCUACAACUUUCAUUCUUUGAGAAUCGACAGAAUCUUUCUGUAUCAAGUUCGAAAUCAGGCUCCAAGUGACUGUUGUGUAAAUUACAACUUCCAAACUUUGAGGUUCAACGUCCGUUUAGUAAAAAUAUCAUAACUUUUUCAUAUGAACUCCGUUUUGGACGAUUCAAGAUGUUCCGGAAAGCUAAAGAAGAGCUCUACAAUAAAAUCCAAGUCCCAAGCCAAGACCAUGCAUCCAACUUAAUGCUAAAAACCCUGC
rnacentral:lncRNA from 1 species